rnacentral:rRNA from 1 species
UGGGGAAUUUUCCGCAAUGGGCGCAAGCCUGACGGAGCAACGCCGCGUGAGGGAUGAAGGCCUCUGGGCUGUAAACCUCUUUUCUCAAGGAAGAAGAACUGACGGUACUUGAGGAAUAAGCCACGGCUAAUUCCGUGCCAGCAGCCGCGGUAAUACGGGAGUGGCAAGCGUUAUCCGGAAUUAUUGGGCGUAAAGCGUCCGCAGGCGGCCUUGAAAGUCUGUCGUUAAAGCGUGGAGCUUAACUCCAUUUCGGCGGUGGAAACUACAAGGCUUGAGUGUGGUAGGGGCAGAGGGAAUUCCCGGUGUAGCGGUGAAAUGCGUAGAUAUCGGGAAGAACACCAGUGGCGAAGGCGCUCUGCUGGGCCAUAACUGACGCUCAUGGACGAAAGCUAGGGGAGCGAAAGGG